UACAGAGGGUGCGAGCGUUGUUCGGAAUUAUUGGGCGUAAAGCGCUUGUAGGCGGCCUGUUAAGUUCCGUGUGAAAUCCCCUGGCUUAACCAGGGAAGUGCGCGGGAAACUGGCGGGCUUGAAUGCCGGAGAGGGUCGCGGAAUUCCCGGUGUAGAGGUGAAAUUCGUAGAUAUCGGGAGGAACACCAGUGGCGAAAGCGGCGCGCUGGACCAUAACUGACGCUGAGGCGCGAAAGCUAGGGGAGCAAACAGG
rnacentral:rRNA from 1 species